UUUUUUUUUUUUUUUUGCAUAACUAUUAAUGCCUUGAAGAAGUAGAGCUCCCUAGCUCCCAGUAUGAGGAACAGAGAUGCAGACAAAACAAUUAGCUGAUAAAAAAAAGAUAUAGAGUAAAUUUAAAAAUCUUUUCCAAUCACACGUCUUUACUGUGAACAUCUGAAUUCCAUUACUGUGUCUCUUUAAGGAUAUAAAUCUCUCACCUGAGACCCUUCAGAGCCAGAAACUUACUCUACAUUUCACCUGUAGUGAAUGUUAUUCCCGAAUAGCACUGUCCAAUAGAAAUAUAAUACUAGCCAUAAAUGUAAUUUUAACUGCAUAUUAAAUUACAUUUAAAUGACAUGGCCAUAUCAAAAAAAGGUGAAAAAAAACAAGAACUCCUGAAAUCAAUUUUGAUACUAUAUUUUAACCCACUAUAUCCAAAAUAUUCUUUCUUUUUUAGGGCCGCACCUGUGGCAUAUGGAAUUUCCCAGGCUAGGAGGUCAAAUCGGAGCUAUGGCUGAGGCCUAUGCCACAGCCACAGCAAUGCAGGAUCCAAAUCGCAUUUGCAACCUAUGCCUCAGUUUGCAGCAGCUUAACCCACUGAGCAAGGCCGGGAAUUGAAUCCACAUCCUCGCGGAGACUCUGUUGGAUUCUUAACCUGCUGAGCCACAAGAGGAACUCCCAAAAUAUUAUUUCAAUGUGUAAUCAGUGCAAAGAAUGACAAAUAAGAUGUUUAACACUUUUAUUUUGUACUAGGUCUUCAAAAUCUAAGUGUACUUAACACUUAAAGCACAUUUCAAGUGCUUACGUGGCUAUGGGCUACCAUGGUGGACAGCACCCUUAGGGCAGAUGUUACCCCCCUAGAGCCCCAGGGCCAAAUCCAGCCUGCCACCUCUAUUUGUAAAUAAAGUUUUAUUAGAACACAGCCAUGCUCGUGUAUACCUAUUGUCUAUGGCUUUUUUUCAUGCCCCAGUGGUGGAAGAAAAUAGUUGCAGCAGAUAGAAUGUGGGCAGCAAAGCCUAAAGUAUUUGCUGUCAUGCCUUUUAUAGGAAAAAAUAGCUUACCUUUGUUCCAGUGGACUUUUUUUUUCUUUCCAUCUUCUUCAUGAACGAUACCCUCAUUAAAACGUGCCUAAUUCCACCAGCUCUACUCUGGGCUCCCGUGAGCAACUGCCCACCCUGCCAGUCCCUGCUCUCACUGACCUUCUCCCUCAGGGUACCAGCCUGCCCUGACCAGGUCCCACCGGGCACAUCACCCAGAGGUGUCCACAUGCAACCUUCUCCACUCCUAAGUGUGCUCUGGCCUUCCCGUCCACCUCGGGGCUCCGCUCAAACACCACCUGCACCAGGAAUCCCCUUCAAAACCUAAACCUGCUAUUCACCCCUGAGCACCCUAGACUUGUCCUAUGCAUCACUCCCCACACUUUUUUUUUGUCUUUUUAGGGCUGCACCUGUGGCAUAGGGAGGUUCCCAGGCUAGGGGUCUAUUGGAGCUACAACUGUCAGCCUGCACCACAACCACAACAACUCGGGAUCCGAGCCUCAUCUGCGACCUACACCACAGCUCAUGGCAACACCGGAUCCUUAAUGCACUGAGCAAGGCCGGGGAUUGGCCCCGAGUCUUCAUGUAUAGUAGUCAGGUUCAUAAUCUACUGAGUAACAAUGGGAACUCCCUCAUACUUUUAAUCAUAAUUCCUUAAUCACUUACAUGUCUGCCUCCUAGACUGCAAACUCCACAAGGCAGGGAACUUAUCCAUCUUCUCCAGCCGUCACUGUAUCCCAGCACCCAGUCCCACACCUGACUCAUAGUAAUCGCCCAAUCAAAAUGAAUGCAUGAAUGGAAUAUGGUGCCGAGUCAAGUGAGUUUCUGACAUUGUCACCUGAGGUUCUGAGUUCUGUAUCAGCCCUGCCCAGGGGUCACUAACCGAUCAGCUAAGGAAACCAUCUUCAUGUAGGACCUGGUCACAAAGAAGCUUCAGACGCCUCUCCUGGUGAGCAGCAGCCGUGCUUUCUAGCAUGGCUCACUGGUCACAAAGGCCAGGAGGUCAUCUGUCUCUGGCCACUGCCUCUGUCCAAGGAGAGCUGAACACAGGGACAGUCACACUCAGGGAUGUCCCUUGCUAGUUACUCUGGAGGUGGCUGUGUGCAUGCAUGCAUGUGUGUGUGUGUGUUUAAGGGGGUAGUGUUCUGAAACCUCUGGCCCCUUGAGAAAGGCGCCCUCCUCGUGAACUCUUGCCAGUAAGCACUGCAGUUUCUAAGUAGCACUUCCCGACAUCUUCCCAUCAAGGCACACCCAGGAUUUGUCAGGUGCAUCUGAGUCCAGGGCCAAGGCUGCUGGUGGCCUGUGAAUGACAUCUUCUGUCGUCCCUCCAGAUCCCCUUGCCACCCCUUCCGAUCCCUCCUUGUGUCCUGGAAGGCUGCCUGGUAUGGGCCACAUCAGUGCAAUGUGGACAGACUCUCCCAUCCUGCAGCAUCCUUUCCAUCUUUGGCUUUGUCACCUGCCCUCUGGUAUUAAGUGAUGGCAGCCACAGCAAGCAGCAAAGACCUAGACAGUUUGGGGUGCACACCCUGCAUGGGGCCCAUGUUUUCAAACAGUUUUGUCCUUGUAAAUUAUGCUAAACAAACCGCAUUUUAAAAAAAAAAGUUUGUUGAAGAUUAACAAAUGCCUAAUGAAUUCAAAUCUGUGACAUAAGAGAGCUGGGUAAAUAUAUUUUAAGUAAUCAGCAUGGAAGAUUACUGACAGAGAAGUGACUAUUGAAUCUUAAUUAAAAUUGUAUUCUGAGAACUGUCACUUAGUAUAUUACUCUCAUAGCCAAACAAAAAGCAGCUUAAACCCCAAGUUGGGAGGGAGGUGAGGGGAGCUGGGUGGAUAACAGGCAAUUCCUGUACACCAAGGGGGGCCGGGGAUCUCUCUUUUGAGCAAGGGAUUUGAAUAAAUGCUAGAAGGAGCAACCUGGGUUCCUCUGAGCAUCUUCCAAUGAUGGCGGUGGUGGAGGGGAGCGUGGAGAGGUGGCGAUUAGGAGUAGAGGUCUGGUAUCAGGAACAAAGAAGCAGAUGAAAGCAGUCGGGAGGGGCCUCGGGAUUAUUUGUGGGCAAAGCUGAGAGGGGUGCGGGGGGGGGGAUCAGAAGCGAGGCUGUGAAAUGGAUGCUGGUAUCAAAUGUCAGAAUCAGCCUUCAUGGGAGGAUUCCAUCUGCAAAGGAGCAAAAGCUUGUCUGCUUGGAAUGUCUAUGAGCCAGGACUGGGCGGAGGGGAGGGGCGAGUGGGGGAAGUUGCCAGAGAGACAAAGGCGGAUGAGCUGGAGAGGAAGAGAAGCAGUCUCCCCCCGGACCUGGACCUGCAAGGCCCAGAGAAUCAGCACGUCCAGAGAAUCAGCACGUUUACCCAGGGUAGGAACCGUGUCUCCUCCCUCCCCGCCCCCCAGGUAUCUACAUGCAGUCUUCACAACUCUGCAAGGUGAGGGCUGCAGCUCAUCCAGAAGGUGCUCUUGUGUAAUUAGAAAGCUGUGUUCCCAUGGGCCUUUGGAGGACCCCUUAGCAGAACAGCCUUGUGCAGUGAGUAACCUGGGCUACCAUACCUCUCAGCCUGAGUAUUGCUAUCCUUGUUUCAACCACCAAAAGGUUUGAGCCAGCCCAACUCUCUCAGCUCCCCCCUAGAAGAACCAUGAUUGGAACUGAGGAUAGAUUGGAACUGGCUCCAGGCCCCUACAGAAGCUUCCUCGCGCCUGGUGUACAUAGAAACCGGCUGCCUCCACUAUGAGAUUGCUUAGUAACCUGUGACGGCCCAGCUGUUCAACUAAAUUUGGGCACUUGUGUUUCCUGCUUGGGGAUGGGCCUGGAAGGAACGCUGGUGUUCUCAGAAGCUGAGGCCUCAUUGGCUCAGAAAGCCCCACCUGUCAGGCCCUGUGGGUAGUGAGUCACACACAUACACACGUGCGUACGCACACAAUGAAACAGGCUGGCAAUGAAUACAGAGUUGUGGAAACAGGCUGGUGGUUUGUAAUCAGAAUCUCCAGAUAGGACUUUAUAUUUAAAACAAAAGGAAAAAAGACGAAGAC
ensembl:lncRNA